GGCGGGGUAACGGCCCACCAAGACAACGAUGGAUAGGGGUUCUGAGAGGAAGGUCCCCCACAUUGGAACUGAGACACGGUCCAAACUCCUACGGGAGGCAGCAGUGAGGAAUAUUGGUCAAUGGACGAGAGUCUGAACCAGCCAAGUAGCGUGAAGGAUGACUGCCCUAUGGGUUGUAAACUUCUUUUAUAUGGGAAUAAAAUGUUCCACGUGUGGGAUUUUGUAUGUACCAUAUGAAUAAGGAUCGGCUAACUCCGUGCCAGCAGCCGCGGUAAUACGGAGGAUCCGAGCGUUAUCCGGAUUUAUUGGGUUUAAAGGGAGCGUAGGUGGAUUGUUAAGUCAGUUGUGAAAGUUUGCGGCUCAACCGUAAAAUUGCAGUUGAAACUGGCAGUCUUGAGUACAGUAGAGGUGGGCGGAAUUCGUGGUGUAGCGGUGAAAUGCUUAGAUAUCACGAAGAACUCCGAUUGCGAAGGCAGCUCACUGGACUGCAACCGACACUGAGGCUCGAAAGUGUGGGUAUCAAACAGGAUUAGAUACCCUGGUAGUCCACACAGUAAACGAUGAAUACUCGCUGUUUGCGAUAUACGGCAA
rnacentral:rRNA from 1 species